ACACACACACACACACACAGACACACAGACACACACACACACACACACACACACACACACUAUACUCAAUCCUUCUCUCUAACCCCGUUCUUUCCUGCUCUUGAUCGUGUGAGGCUCUGUAAAAUCUACUUAAUGACUGUGCCCAUUUGCCAAAGCAGUGAGCAGGCUGCAGCCUUGUGACUCCUUUCGCCAGUUUUGUUUGUCACUGGGUCCCCUUAAGAUGAAUGGUUCCGAGUGCUGGGAACUUUUGAAGAGGAGAGAGUAUGUUUUUAUGCCUUUCAUGCCAUGAUUUGAUUAGAGGCUCCUAAGCCAAAGAUAUAAGUAGGUUAUGGUAGCCUCCAGCACCGUGGGCAGAGCCCUGACUGGUGAGAUAUUGUACUGGGGAUCAGCUGUCCAAUACAGUAGGUAACAAGAAUGCGUGAGCUUUGAUGCUAAGUACUGAGAGAAAUCACAGUCACAUUUAUAUAUGUGAAAAACAGUGCUGCCAACAGCGGUAAUUUGAACAUCUCUUACUGACGUUUAGAAUCUUUCCAGAUUACAAUAGGGCCAGGGCAAUCUCUUGGGAAUACUCCAUGGGAAAUUUUCAUGAAGUACUAAACCCAACUGGAUUUACUUCAAUUGUUCUAAAACAAACAUUCUCACUUUUGUUAACUGGCUGCUUAGUUAAAAAUGAGGAACUGCUAGACGCCCUUAGACGUCAAGGGGACAUAACGAACACAUACCGUGUCAAGAAGAGUUAUGAAGGAUGCUGUAUAUGACCCACAGUGGGUGUCAUGAACGUAGGUCAAAGUCGGAUUAUCAAUGGACCAUGAGAAAAAUAAUCAGCAACUUGAGUAUUAUCAUUUUAACUAUUUUACCAGCAUGCUCUGUUCCACUAGCCAGGUGUAUCUUGCUUUCAGUGUAUGCACGAACACUAUGAAGGCACACACAUGUAUGCACAGCACACAACCACACAGUCUCUCUCUUCCUCUCCUUUUCCCUCUCCCUCCCUCCUUUCUGUUUGAACUCUCCAGCCCUGGAUUUGAACCCACCAUCCUUCAUGAGUCAGAUACACCUUUUCUCACUUAUGUUCUUUAGUAAGGAUACUUUAUUACAACAACGAGAUCCGUAAUUAAGUGCAGUAGAGGAUGAAUUCUGAACUGGCCUCCAACACCAAGGACAUACAUGUGUGCACAUGUAUUCUUGACACCCACAGGCAUGUACACACACCAUUACUAACCCCCUCUCCACUACCAUAGGGCAGUGCUGGCUGUAAGGAAGCUGGUAGAACCUAAAUAAACAUUAUGUAUGGACUCGUCACGCAAAGCACGCCCCACUCAGGAAUUUGCUGCCACUCCUCAGCUUCACAGUCAGUGCCAGGCACACAGUCAGUAUAAGCACACAGUCAGUCAGUGCAGGCACACAGUCAGUCAGUGCAGGCACACAGUCAGUCAGUGUAGGCACACAAUCAGUCAGUGUAGGCACACAAUCAGUCAGUGCAGCACACAGUCAGUCAGUGUAGGCACACAGUCAGUCAGAGCAGGCACACAGUCAGCGCAGGCACACAGUCAGUCAGUGCAGGCACACAGUCAAUCAGUGCAGCCACACAGUCAGUCAGUGCAGGCACACAGUCAGUCAGUGCAGGCACACAGUCAGUGUAAACACACAGUCAGUCAGUGCAGGCACACAGUCAGUCAGUGUAGGCACACAGUCAGUCAGAGCAGGCACACAGUCAGUCAGAGCAGGCACACAGUCAGUCAGUGCAGGCACACAGUGUAGGCACACAGUCAGUCAGUGUAGGCACACAGUCAGUCAGUGUAGGCACACAGUCAGUGUAAGCACACAGUCAGUCAGUGCAGGCACACAGUCAGUGUAGGCACACAGUCAGUGUAAGCACACAGUCAGUCAGUGCAGGCACACAGUCAGUCAGUGUAAGCACACAGUCAGUCAGUGCAGGCACACAGUCAGUGUAGGCACACAGUCAGUCAGUGCAGGCACACAGUCAGUCAGUGUAGGCACACAGUCAGUCAGUGUAGGCACACAGUCAGUGUAGGCACAUGGUCCUUAACACAACUUGGGGGAUGGAGGAGGUGCACGGGAAGCGGGCAGAUGGGACGGGACAUGACUCCAGCCCACAGAGCCUUCCCCAGAGGCCCUGAUGUAUUCUUUCUUGGUUGUAUCAUCAGCGCUUUCCUGACACAGGUGGGCCUUAUUAGAAAACCAAG
rnacentral:sRNA from 1 species